rnacentral:pre_miRNA from 1 species
ACAACAACAUUCGGACCGUCGGUCUACCGAGCAAUAUCACCAGCUCGGUGGAAGAUCUUCCCUUUGUCGUUAAGC